UACGAAGGGGGCUAGCGUUGUUCGGAAUCACUGGGCGUAAAGCGCACGUAGGCGGACAUUUAAGUCAGGGGUGAAAGCCUGGAGCUCAACUCCAGAACUGCCCUUGAUACUGGGUGUCUCGAGUCCGGAAGAGGUAAGUGGAACUGCGAGUGUAGAGGUGAAAUUCGUAGAUAUUCGCAAGAACACCAGUGGCGAAGGCGGCUUACUGGUCCGGUACUGACGCUGAGGUGCGAAAGCGUGGGGAGCAAACAGG
rnacentral:rRNA from 2 species